rnacentral:rRNA from 1 species
GAUGAACGCUAGCGAUAGGCUUAACACAUGCAAGUCGAGGGGCAGCAUGGUCUUAGCUUGCUAAGACUGAUGGCGACCGGCGCACGGGUGCGUAACGCGUAUGCAACUUGCCUCACAGAGGGGGAUAACCCGUCGAAAGACGGACUAAUACCGCGUACACUUGGAGGGAGGCAUCUCCCAUCAAGGAAAAGAAAUUCGCUGUGAGAUAGGCAUGCGUCUCAUUAGCUAGUUGGUGAGGUAACGGCUCACCAAGGCAACGAUGGGUAGGGGAACUGAGAGGUUGAACCCCCACACUGGUACUGAGACACGGACCAGACUCCUACGGGAGGCAGCAGUGAGGAAUAUUGGUCAAUGGGCGAGAGCUUGAACCAGCCAAGUCGCGUGAAGGAUGACUGUCUUAUGGAUUGUAAACUUCUUUUGUAGGGGAAUAAAGAACGGUACGUGUACCGUAGUGAAUGUACCCUACGAAUAAGCAUCGGCUAACUCCGUGCCAGCCGCCGCGGUAA